rnacentral:miRNA from 1 species
UGGAAUGUAGUUGAGGUUAGUAA